rnacentral:tRNA from 1 species
GCCGUCGUAGCUCAGUCUGGUAGAGCUCCCGGCUGUUAACCGGGUGGUCUGCGGUUCAAAUCCGCACGACGGCG